GUCUCGAACAAGCUAGG
rnacentral:miRNA from 1 species